rnacentral:rRNA from 1 species
UACGGGGGGGGCAAGCGUUGUUCGGAAUUACUGGGCGUAAAGGGCGCGUAGGCGGUUGGAUAAGUCAGCUGUGAAAACCACGGGCUUAACUCGUGGCCUGCAGUUGAGACUGUCUGGCUUGAGUGUGGGAGAGGAGAGUGGAAUUCCUGGUGUAGCGGUGAAAUGCGUAGAUAUCGGGAGGAACACCAGUGGCGAAGGCGGCUGCCUGGGCCAGUUCUGACGCUGAGGCGCGAAAGCGUGGGGAGCAAACAGG